UACGUAGGGUGCAAGCGUUACUCGGAAUUACUGGGCGUAAAGCGUGCGCAGGCGGUGAUGUAAGACAGUUGUGAAAUCCCCGGGCUCAACCUGGGAACUGCAUCUGUGACUGCAUCGCUGGAGUACGGUAGAGGGGGAUGGAAUUCCGCGUGUAGCAGUGAAAUGCGUAGAUAUGCGGAGGAACACCGAUAGCGAAGGCAAUCCCCUGGACCUGUACUGACGCUCAUGCACGAAAGCGUGGGGAGCAAACAGG
rnacentral:rRNA from 1 species